rnacentral:rRNA from 1 species
GACAGAGGGUGCAAACGUUGCUCGGAAUUACUGGGCGUAAAGGGCUCGUAGGUGGCCAACUAAGUCAUACGUGAAAUCCCUCAGCUUAACUGGGGAACUGCGUGUGAUACUGGAUGGCUUGGAUUUGGGAGAGGGAUGCGGAAUUCCAGGUGUAGCGGUGAAAUUCGUAGAUAUCGGGAGGAACACCAGUGGCGAAGGCGGCGACCUGGGCCAAUACUGACGCUGAGACGCGAAAGCGUGGGGAGCAAACAGG